AUUGAACGCUGGCGGCAUGCUUUACACAUGCAAGUCGAACGGUAACAGGCCGCAAGGUGCUGACGAGUGGCGUACGGGUGAGUAAUGCAUCGGAACGUGCCCAGUCGUGGGGGAUAACUACUCGAAAGAGUAGCUAAUACCGCAUACGAUCUAUGGAUGAAAGCGGGGGACCGUAAGGCCUCGCGCGAUUGGAGCGGCCGAUGUCAGAUUAGGUAGUUGGUGGGGUAAAGGCUCACCAAGCCAACGAUCUGUAGCUGGUCUGAGAGGACGACCAGCCACACUGGGACUGAGACACGGCCCAGACUCCUACGGGAGGCAGCAGUGGGGAAUUUUGGACAAUGGGCGCAAGCCUGAUCCAGCAAUGCCGCGUGCAGGAAGAAGGCCUUCGGGUUGUAAACUGCUUUUGUACGGAACGAAACGGCUCUGGUUAAUACCCGGGGCUAAUGACGGUACCGUAAGAAUAAGCACCGGCUAACUACGUG
rnacentral:rRNA from 1 species